AAAUUGAAGAGUUUGAUCAUGGCUCAGAUUGAACGCUGGCGGCAGGCCUAACACAUGCAAGUCGAACGGUAGCACAGAGAGCUUGCUCUCGGGUGACGAGUGGCGGACGGGUGAGUAAUGUCUGGGAAACUGCCUGAUGGAGGGGGAUAACUACUGGAAACGGUGGCUAAUACCGCAUAACGUCGCAAGACCAAAGAGGGGGACCUUCGGGCCUCUUGCCAUCAGAUGUGCCCAGAUGGGAUUAGCUGGUUGGUGAGGUAACGGCUCACCAAGGCGACGAUCCCUAGCUGGUCUGAGAGGAUGACCAGCCACACUG
rnacentral:rRNA from 1 species